rnacentral:tRNA from 1 species
UCUUUUAUAAUUUAUGAAGAAUAUUGCAUUGAAGCUGCAAAAGAGACUAAAUCAGUCUAAAAGAA